rnacentral:rRNA from 1 species
UACGUAGGGGGCAAGCGUUGUCCGGAAUUAUUGGGCGUAAAGAGCUCGUAGGCGGUUCGUCGCGUCGGCUGUGAAAACCCGGAGCUCAACUCCGGGCCUGCAGUCGAUACGGGCGGACUAGAGUUCGGCAGGGGAGACUGGAAUUCCUGGUGUAGCGGUGAAAUGCGCAGAUAUCAGGAGGAACACCGGUGGCGAAGGCGGGUCUCUGGGCCGAUACUGACGCUGAGGAGCGAAAGCGUGGGGAGCGAACAGG